rnacentral:lncRNA from 1 species
GGUAGAAGGCUCCAGUGAAACCAUCUGGACCGCCUGCAGAAUCCCCAUUCAGCCCCAUUACUGCUUUCUUCACUUCCUCAUUCGAAGGUAGGGCCAUCAAACUCUCAUGUUGACCAUUAUCUAUCAUUGGAGGUACAUGAUUUAAAAUAUCAAAAUCAUUGGGAAAAGACCUCUCAGUAAAUAACUCCUUGUAAAAUUUUACAACUUCCUCUGCUAUUUUGUGAUCUUCUUCAAUCCAAUUACCAUCACUAUCCUGGAC